GCCCCCGGGCGGACAUGAAGUGGCGAACGGGUGAGUAACACGUGACCGACCUGCCCCCCGCCCAGGGACAGCCCCCAAAGGGGAUUAAUACCUGGUACUCCGGGAGCGGCGCAUGCCGCAUCCGGGAAAGCUCUCGCGGCGGGGGAUGGGGUCGCGGCCCAUCAGGUAGACGGCGGGGCAGAGGCCCACCGUGCCGACGACGGGUAGCCGGGUUGAGAGACCGACCGGCCACAUUGGGACUGAGAUACGGCCCAGACUCCUACGGGAGGCAGCAUG
rnacentral:rRNA from 1 species